GCUCAGGAUGAACGCUAGCGGCAGGCCUAAUACAUGCAAGUCGAACGAUAGAUAAGGGCUUGCUCUUAUCGAAAGUGGCGCACGGGUGCGUAACGCGUAUGCAACCUACCUUUAUCUGGGGGAUAGCCCGGAGAAAUCCGGAUUAAUACCGCAUAAAAUCACAGGAUUGCAUAAUCCAAUGAUCAAACAUUUAUGGGAUGAAGAUGGGCAUGCGUGUCAUUAGCUAGUUGGCGGGGUAACGGCCCACCAAGGCGACGAUGACUAGGGGAUCUGAGAGGAUGGCCCCCCACACUGGUACUGAGACACGGACCAGACUCCUACGGGAGGCAGCAGUAAGGAAUAUUGGUCAAUGGAGGCAACUCUGAACCAGCCAUGCCGCGUGCAGGAAGACUGCCCUAUGGGUUGUAAACUGCUUUUAUCCGGGAAUAAACCUUUCUACGUGUAGGAAGC
rnacentral:rRNA from 1 species